UACGGAGGGUGCAAGCGUUAUCCGGAUUCACUGGGUUUAAAGGGUGCGUAGGUGGGUUGAUAAGUCAGUGGUGAAAUCCCCGAGCUUAACUUGGGAACUGCCAUUGAUACUAUUGAUCUUGAAUACCGUGGAGGUCAGCGGAAUAUGUCAUGUAGCGGUGAAAUGCUUAGAUAUGACAUAGAACACCAAAUUGCGAAGGCAGCUGGCUACGCGAAUAUUGACACUGAUGCACGAAAGCGUGGGGAUCAAACAGGAGUUAGA
rnacentral:rRNA from 1 species